rnacentral:rRNA from 2 species
CUGACGGUACCUGAGGAAUCAGCAUCGGCUAACUCCGUGCCAGCAGCCGCGGUAAGACGGAGGAUGCAAGCGUUAUCCGGAAUUAUUGGGCGUAAAGCGUCCGCAGGCGGUCUCGUAAGUCUGUCUUUAAAGCGUGGAGCUUAACUCCAUAAAGGGGAUGGAAACUGCGAGACUAGAGGUAGGUAGGGGUAGAAGGAAUUCCCAGUGUAGCGGUGAAAUGCGUAGAUAUUGGGAAGAACACCAGCAGCGAAGGCGUUCUACUGGACCAAACCUGACGCUCAUGGACGAAAGCUAGGGGAGCGAAAGGGAUUAGAUACC